rnacentral:rRNA from 1 species
AUUGAACGCUGGCGGCAGGCUUAACACAUGCAAGUCGAGCGGGGAAGGGUAGCUUGCUACCUGACCUAGCGGCGGACGGGUGGGUAAUGCUUAGGAAUCUGCCUAUUAGUGGGGGACAACAUUCCGAAAGGAAUGCUAAUACCGCAUACGCCCUACGGGGGAAAGCAGGGGAUCUUCGGACCUUGCGCUAAUAGAUGAGCCUAAGUCAGAUUAGCUAGUUGGUGGGGUAAAGGCCUACCAAGGCGACGAUCUGUAGCGGGUCUGAGAGGAUGAUCCGCCACACUGGGACUGAGACACGGCCCAGACUCCUACGGGAGGCAGCAGUGGGGAAUAUUGGACAAUGGGCGCAAGCCUGAUCCAGCCAUGCCGCGUGUGUGAAGAAGGCCUUUUGGUUGCAAAGCACUUUAAGCGAGGAGGAGGCUACUUGGAUUAAUACUCUAGGAUAGUGGACGUUACUCGCAGAAUAAGCACCGGCUAACUCUGUGCCAGCAGCCGCGGUAAUACAGAGGGUGCGAGCGUUAAUCGGAUUUACUGGGCGUAAAGCGUGCGUAGGCGGCUUUUUAAGUCGGAUGUGAAAUCCCUGAGCCUAACUUAGGAAUUGCAUUCGAUACUGGGAAGCUAGAGUAUGGGAGAGGAUGGUAGAAUUCCAGGUGUAGCGGUGAAAUGCGUAGAGAUCUGGAGGAAUACCGAUGGCGAAGGCAGCCAUCUGGCCUAAUACUGACGCUGAGGUACGAAAGCAUGGGGAGCAAACAGG